UACGGAGGGUGCAAGCGUUAUCCGGAUUUACUGGGUUAAAGGGUGCGUAGGUGGGUAGGAAAGUCAGUGGUGAAAUCUUCGGGCUUAACCCGGAAACUGCCAUUGAUACUAUUUAUCUUGAAUACUUUGGAGGUAAGCGGAAUAUGUCAUGUAGCGGUGAAAUGCUUAGAUAUGACAUAGAACACCAAAUUGCGAAGGCAGCUUACUACACAGUUAUUGACACUGAGGCACGAAAGCGUGGGGAUCAAAACAGG
rnacentral:rRNA from 1 species